GGUUCACAGUCCCACUCGUCCCCGGCCGCAGAUUGUCUUCUCUCGGGGUGCAGCCCAGCGGGCGCCGCCCCGCCGCUGCCCGUCGCCGCCUUGCCCGGGCGGUUCCGCUAGGCCGCCGCGCCGUGCGACCCCGGGCGGGGCGGCCAGGGCCUCCUCUGGGUGCUGACGGGGCGUGCAUUUGCUUCUGGUGAUGGGAAUAAAGCCUUUCUUCAUCCCAGUUAGGAUAGCUGUUUUCAGAAAACUCAGAAAUUCCUAAGGGUUCGCCGGGUUGCGGGGAAGGUGGGGCGCUGUGCGCCGUUGGUGGGAUGUAAGAUGAUGCAGUGGCAGUGGAGAUAGCCCCGGGAUUGCUCAAGAGAGUAACGUGGAAUUACCGUGAGAGCCGGUGAUGCCGCUUCUGGGGAUAUACCCAGAACAGGGUCUCAGGGGUGUGUCCCCCCGUGUUCACAGCAGCAUCACUCACAAAGCCCGACGGGGGAAGCCCCACAGUCUGCUGACGGAUAAAGGUGUCGAUAGUGUGCAGACGUCCCAUGGGAUGCUGUUCAGCCGUGAAAGGAAGGGGAUUCUGACACCUCGCGCAACAUGGAUGGACCCUGAGGACAUCACGCUCGGUGAAGCAAGCCAGUCACACAAGGACGGACGCCGCACGAUUCCACUCUUGUGAGGCCACCACGGGAGCGACGUCUGCAGAGACGGAAAGCGGCCUGGCGGGGGCGGGAGCCCGAGUUGAACGGGGACGGUUUCAGUUUUGCAAGAUGCAAGGAGCUCAGAGAUGUGAAUGCAUUAGUGCCACGAAACUACACUUAAAAACGGAAGAUCAGCCCUGAGCUAACAGCUGUACCAGUCUUCCUCGACUUUGCAUGUGGGAUGCCGCCACAGCACGGCUGAUGAGUGGAGGAUCCCAGACUUGGAGCUGAAGAAGCUGGCAACCCAACAAAAAAAGCCAUCAAAAGCCUAUUCUUUCUAGCCAGAGGACUAAGCAAAGGGCAGCCUAGCAAGACAGAAAAUCUUUGGUCAAGAACUGCUGUACUCCAGCCAAACACCACAGAAAAUACUGUGGCCCCACCCCCACCUCUACCAAUGAAGGCCAAGA